CUUGAUUUGGACAGCAGGACGAUGGUCAUGGAAGUUGAAAUUCGCUAAGGAGUGUGUAACAACUCACCUGCCGAAUCAAUCAGCCCCGAAAAUGGAUGGCGCUCAAGCGAAUCUUUAAAACUGCGCUACUGACGUAAGUGAUAUAGACGACAGUAAGUAGGGGGGUGGAGCGAUUGUUUUGAAAUUAUAAGCGCAAGCUUUAAUGGAGCAGUGGUUAGUGCAGAUCUUGGUGUUAGUAGCAAAUAUUCAUCCGAGAAUUAUGAAUGCUGAGGUGGAGUAAGGUUCCAUGUCAACAGCAGUUGGACAUGGGUUAGCCGGUCCUAAGACAAACUGUAAUUAUUAUCAAGGGCAGUUUCAAUGUCUUUAUCAAAAGGGUGUCAGGUUAAUAUUCCUGAAUUACUUAUUGUGGUGUUGAAGCGGUAACGCAAUAAAACUCGGUUACUGCGGCUGAAGUUCCUAUAGGAGAUCUCUACUCUUAUUGAAAGUUCUAUGAUCAUGGAAUAAGUUUGCCUUGAGAUCGGAUUAUAGUACAUUAAAAGCAUUGUGCAUUUCGCGAUGUAUGGUACACUUUGGACGUAUCGUAAAAACCUGUGAAUGUACUUGCGAUCAUAUUUUAUCCGUAUUGAUUACCGCAUCAGGUCUCUAAGGUCAAAAGCCUCUGGUUAAUAGAAUAAAGUGGGUAAGGGAAGUCGGCAAAAUGGUUCUGUAAGUUUGCGAUAAGGAAUGGCUCAUUAGGUUGGGUUAUAGGGCUCAUGGAAGAAGCUGUUUGGCGUUAGAGACUGCUGGUGUUGAUUCAGAGUCGUAAUCGGAAGGUCUAUAGAUUCAUAUGGGCGACAACAUGAGAGUUAAACUUUCGUAAGGAAGUUUCUUUUCCGUUAACGAUUAACAACUAAUAGUGAACUGGUGCUAACCACAGGAACCCGACUGUUUAAUUAAAACAAAGCAUUGUGAAGGAUCUGACGGUUGUUGAUACAAUGUGAUUUCUGCCCAGUGCUCUGAAUGUCACAGUGAAGAAAUUCAAUCAAGCGCGGGUAAACGGCGGGAGUAACUAUGACUCUCUUAAGGUAGCCAAAUGCCUCGUCAUCUCACUAGUGACGCGCAUGAAUGGAUCAACGAGGUUCCUUCUGUCCCUAUCUACUAUCUAGCGA
rnacentral:rRNA from 1 species